rnacentral:lncRNA from 1 species
GAGAUAACUCGUUUAUACUUCCGUUGUCAAUGUGUAGGCAUGUGCUUUUAGCUGAAACCUCCGGCAAGAUUCGAACUAAACUCGCUGCGACUUUGUCGACACAGAAAACCGGCGUUUGUUAUUUUCCUUUCAAAUAUAUUUACAGCAAUUGACAUUUUGCUGAAAAGGGUAACCAUUGGGAGUACUGUUGGGAAGGAAAAGAGAAAGGCUUAGUGAUUUGGUCUUUGCAUGAAUGCCAGAAUACAAAGGAGCCAAGAAAGAUUUACUUUUUGUUGUGGAAAGGUUGCUUGCUGAGAAGGCUACAUCGAAAGAACAUUGUCAAAUUUCUCCCUCUUCCUCUCAUUUUAUUGACGUCUGAUUCUGACCAAGGAACAAGAUG